ACGUAGGGUGCAAGCGUUAAUCGGAAUUACUGGGCGUAAAGCGUGCGCAGGCGGUUGAGUAAGUUAGAUGUGAAAUCCCCGGGCUCAACCUGGGAACUGCAUUUAAAACUGCUCGGCUAGAGUGUGUCAGAGGGGGGUAGAAUUCCACGUGUAGCAGUGAAAUGCGUAGAGAUGCGGAGGAAUACCAAUGGCGGAGGCAACCCCUGGGAUAACACUGACGCUCAUGUACGAAAGCGUGGGGAGCAAACAGGAUUAGAUACCCUGGUAGUCCACGCCCUAAACGAUGUCUACUAGUUGUUGGGGUCUUCGGACCUUAGUAACGCAGCUAACGCGUGAAGUAGACCGCCUGGGGAGUACGGUCGCAAGAUUA
rnacentral:rRNA from 1 species